rnacentral:rRNA from 1 species
ACCGCAUAAAAGCUUUUGACAAAAGGGAUGACGCAGGAGGAUAAGGUGUGCAUACAAAUGGAUGUAUGUCUAAGCAUCGAGUCAGGUAUACCAGGAAAAUCCGGUAUAUCAAUGAUGAGGUGUUAUGGGGAAUCCGCAAGGGGAAGUACCUGAUUUCACGCUGCCGAGAAAAGUCUCUAUGAAGUUUUUAUGUGCCCGUACCGCAAACCGACACAGGUAGGUGAGGAGAGAAUCCUAAGACCAUCGGAAGAAUUGUUGUUAAGGAACUAGGCG